rnacentral:lncRNA from 1 species
GCGGCUCGUGCCAGAAUGAAGAUGGCUUCCUGUCCCGCUAGCGUCACGUCGGGAUCUGCCUUCACCAAGGCCUUCACUCGCGCCAGAGGCAACCUCGAGAGACGAGCCCCAGGCACACUCGUUGGGGCCUGGGGCUGCGAGGCCGCUGCCUCCCCAGCAGAGCAAUACAAGCAGCUGAGCGUCAGAGAUACAAGCAGCUGAGCGUCAGGGACACAAGAAGCUGGGCAUUGAGGAUACAAGCAGCUGAGCAUCAGGGAUACAAAUGGCUGAGCAGAGAAGCAACUGAGCAUCUAAGACUACAGACAGAUGUGGCUAACUUCAGACAGUGCAGCUUCAGGCAAAGAUCUUCUUCUCGCACCAUCCCCUUUCCAACUCCCCAUUCUGCUGACAGCCACUUCCACUUCCAUCACACAAUAAAAUCCUCUGCAUACGCCAACCUUCAAUUCAUUCGUGUGACGAUUCUUCCUAGACACUGGACAAGAACCCAAAUGCCAAGAGGACAAGGGCUGGGACACUCCUACAGGGCCCUGCACAGAGCCGGCUCCCGCCAGAGAGGAGCAACCGGCCAGUUCCAGCAUUAGUUCACUUUGGUUCCUGCACUCUUCUUGCUCACAUGCUCCCUCUCAUGAGGAGUGGCCAGUGGCAGGCUGAAUGAAAUGUGCUACUCCAGUUCCCUCCCACAAGGUCAAGGAAAAAAUUCCAGCUCAACAGUUUCUGACUGGUUAAGCUUAAGCUUUGUUUUCCUGCAAUAUGGCUGUUCACACUGAGUUAGGUUUCAGUUUGGCCGUAUAGAAACCCGAGACAGUGGAGCCAUCUCAGCCUAAUGGCCUCCCAAUUAUUUAUUUUAACAGGGCAUCAUUUUAUCUAUAUUUGUGCAUGAAUAUAU